rnacentral:rRNA from 1 species
UUAAUCGUAAACACAGGCAGUCAUUACAAACCACUGCUCGCCAGAGAAGUACAAGUGAAAAACUAGAAACUCAAAGGACUUGGCGGUGUCCCAUAUCAACCUAGAGGAGCCUGUCCCGUAAUCGAUACUCCACGCUUAACCCAACCUGCCUUUGCCAACCAGCCUAUAUACCGCCGUCGCCAGCCUGCCUAAUGAUAGAUCUGAAGCAGGCACAAUUAGUCCCCCUAAACAUGUCAGGUCAAGGUGUAGCUAAUAAGCAGGUGUCAGAUGGGCUACAUUUUCUAAACACAAGAAAAACACUGCAGACAACAUGAAACAUAAGCCGAAAGACGGAUUUAGCAGUAAGCUGGGUAAGAAAACCCAACUGAAAAUUGCCCUGGGACAC